rnacentral:rRNA from 1 species
CCUACGGGAGGCAGCAGUGAGGAAUAUUGGUCAAUGGGCGGGAGCCUGAACCAGCCAAGUCGCGUGAGGGAAGACGGUCCUAUGGAUUGUAAACCUCUUUAGGCGGGGAGCAAUGCCGGGCACGCGUGCCCGGAGGGAGAGUACCCGAAGAAUCAGCAUCCGCUAACUCCGUGCCAGCAGCGGCGGUAAUACGGAGGAUGCGAUCGUGAUCCGGAUUGAUUGGGUUUAAAGGGUGCGUAGGCGGAUUUUUAAGUGAGCGGUAAAAUGUCCGGGCUCAACCCGGGCCGGCCGUUGAAACUGGGGAUCUUGAGUGGGCGAGAAGUAUGCGGAAUGCGUGGUGUAGCGGUGAAAUGCAUAGAUAUCACGCAGAACUCCGAUUGCGAAGGCAGCAUACCGGCGCCCGACUGACGCUGAGGCACGAAAGCGUGGGGAUCGAACAGGAUUAGAUACCCCAGUAGUC